rnacentral:rRNA from 1 species
GACAGAGGUCCCGAGCGUUAGGCGGAAUCACUGGGCUUAAAGCGUGUGUAGGCGGAUGCCUAAGUACCUUGUGAAAUCCCACGGCUCACCCGUGGAACUGCUUGGUAUACUGGGUGUCUUGAGCCACUUAGGGGCUACCGGAACAAACGGUGGAGCGGUGAAAUGCGUAGAUAUCAUUUGGAACGCCAAUGGUGAAAACAGGUAGCUGGGAGUGUGCUGACGCUGAGACACGAAAGCCAGGGGGGCAAACGGG